rnacentral:lncRNA from 1 species
CCCCCUCUCUCUCUCUGGCUGUCUCUCUGCGUACUUUUGAUCUCUCUCUGUCAAAUAAACAAAUAAAAUCUUAAAAAAAAAAAAAAAAAGAAAGAAAGAAAGCUAACGGAGGAUGUGUUGGCAAGGGAAGGUCCUAGGAGCACAGCGGAACACCACCAGGAAUGAGGGGUAGCACAGAAGACUCCAGAGCACAGUCUUCAGGAAGAUGGGACUGAGAAGAGUACAGCUGGAGACUGGAACUAACAUAGUGAUAAAGACAGAAAACCAAGCAAGUACUCAGUGACAGCAUAUGCUUCACGCUGAAUGUGGGGCUUGAACUCACAACUCUGAAAUCAAGACUUGAGAUCAAGAGUUGGAUGCUGCACCAACUAAGCCAUCCAGGUGCCCCACAGGAUUUUAAACACUUAACACAAAAAAUUGAUUUGAAC